rnacentral:lncRNA from 1 species
CCGUCUCCGCCGUCCAUCUCUCUCCGAUCACGAUCAAUUCCAGAUCUCUCAACUCAACAAUUUGUCAACUACUAGCUCCAGUUUCGCACUAUUAUAACUCCAAUUGAGCUGUCAUCUCCAAUAUUAUAACUAUAACAAUACUUAACUUAUAUCUAUAAAUAAGAGAGAGAGAGAGAUGUACGAGAGAGAUUUAUUACUUACGAGAGAGAGAGGGAGAGAGAUAUACGAGAGAGAUUUAUUACUU